rnacentral:rRNA from 1 species
UUGAACGCUGGCGGCAUGCCUUACACAUGCAAGUCGAACGGUAACAGGUCUUCGGAUGCUGACGAGUGGCGAACGGGUGAGUAAUACAUCGGAACGUACCCAUUGGUGGGGGAUAACACAUCGAAAGAUGUGCUAAUACCGCAUACGACCUGAGGGUGAAAGGGGGGGAUCGCAAGACCUCUCGCCGUUGGAGCGGCCGAUAUCGGAUUAGCUAGUUGGUGAGGUAAAGGCUCACCAAGGCGACGAUCCGUAGCUGGUCUGAGAGGACGACCAGCCACACUGGAACUGAGACACGGUCCAGACUCCUACGGGAGGCAGCAGUGGGGAAUUUUGGACAAUGGGCGGAAGCCUGAUCCAGCCAUUCCGCGUGAGUGAAGAAGGCCUUCGGGUUGUAAAGCUCUUUCGGCAGGAACGAAACGGUCUUUUCUAAUACAAGAGGCUAAUGACGGUACCUGAAGAAGAAGCACCGGCUAACUACGU